CUCCUACGGGAGGCAGCAGUGGGGAAUAUUGGACAAUGGGCGAAAGCCUGAUCCAGCCAUGCCGCGUGUGUGAAGAAGGUCUUCGGAUUGUAAAGCACUUUAAGUUGGGAGGAAGGGUUGUAACCUAAUACGUUGCAAUCUUGACGUUACCGACAGAAUAAGCACCGGCUAACUCUGUGCCAGCAGCCGCGGUAAUACAGAGGGUGCAAGCGUUAAUCGGAAUUACUGGGCGUAAAGCGCGCGUAGGUGGUUCGUUAAGUUGGAUGUGAAAUCCCCGGGCUCAACCUGGGAACUGCAUUCAAAACUGACGAGCUAGAGUAUGGUAGAGGGUGGUGGAAUUUCCUGUGUAGCGGUGAAAUGCGUA
rnacentral:rRNA from 1 species